CUCAAUGGCUACGAACACAGAGAAGAAUUUCCCACCUGGACAUCUCCAAUGCUGGAAUUGCAGAUGACAUUAGUAGUUGGUUUUGGAAACUUGCUUUGAAAUUGAAUUAUUUGAACAUCUCUUGCAAUCAAAUCACUGGUGAAGCCCAUAAAUUAUCAUCAGUCGAAGGAGAUUCUGCUACGGUCGAUAUGAGUUCCAACUGCUUGCACGGUUCCUUACCACUUCCACUUAAUGCAACAAUAUUGAACCUUUCCAGAAACUUGUUUUCAGGAACUAUAUCCAACCUUUGUUCAAUUGCUUGUGAGAGAUUAGUUUACCUUGACCUUUCUGACAAUUGUCUCACAGGAGAAAUACCUGACUGUUGGAUGAUGUGUAAGGAACUGGACAUCCUUAAUUUGGCUAGCAAUAAUUUUUCAGGGAGGAUACCUGCCUCACUUGGCUCUGUGGUUUUUAUCCAGACAUUAAACUUGAGAAACAACAGUUUGUCUGGAGAGUUGCCUCCGUCACUAGCCAAUUGUACGCGAUUGAAAAUUCUUGACCUCGGGGAGAACAGAUUAUCUGGCAAAAUUCCAUCUUGGAUUGGAGAAAAUCUUUCGAGUUUGGUUGUUCUUCGUCUAAGAUCAAAUUACCUUGAUGGAACCUUACCCUUGGUCCUCUGCCAUCUAGCUCAUGUUCAAAUAUUGGAUCUCUCCCACAAUAAUAUAUCUGAUGAUAUACCGCAUUGCUUCAGCAAUUUCUCUGCCAUGUCAAAGAAUGGGAGCACUUACGAAUUCAUUGGUCAUUCCAGCAACCAUACUUUACCUUUUUUUGUUAUUUUAUAUCAUGAUAGUGUUAGAGUUGUAUUGAAAGGAAUGGAGCUUGAAUAUGGAAAAACUCUCGAACAAGUGAAGAUCAUGGAUCUUUCCAGCAAUAACUUAAUUGGAGAAAUUCCUGAUGGGAUAGCGAAACUUGAGGGCUUGGUUUCGCUGAAUUUAUCAAAUAAUUGAUUGACCGGGAUCAUUCCUCCCAGUAUAGGCCUCAUGAGAUCAUUAGAAUCUCUUGAUUUGUCUACAAAUCAACUUUCUGGUGGACUUCCUGACGGCCUUCGCGAUAUGAAUUUUCUCAGUCGCCUGAAUGUCUCGUAUAACAACUUGUCAGGAAAAAUUCCAUUAAGCACUCAACUCCAGAGCUUUGACAAUACUUCAUUCAUGGCAAAUCCAGAACUUUGUGGGAAACCUCUUUCAAACGAGUGUGCAGCAGAACAAGCUCAUGAUCCAUCAAUCAGUCAAGGCAGCAAAAAUGUUGAUAUCCAAGAUGAGGAUGGAUUUAUAAGCAGAGGAUUCUAUCUGAGCAUGGGGAUUGGAUUUGCCACUGGAUUUUGGGCAGUCUGCGGCACUUUAUUGCUCUAUAGGCCAUGGAGGCAUGCCUUCUUCCGUCUCAUGAACCAUUUUGAAGAUUGGCUGCACGUGAAGACAAUGCUGUUAAUCAUGGCUAGAUUGCAAAGGAGGCUUCGUAACUAGCAAGUGUGUGCCGCAGCACCUCGCAUGGCGUGUUGUUCUUCAAGGGAUCCAUCUGGUGAAUUAUACAUGCAUGGCACGUUGUGAAGAAGAUAUGAACUGAGCUUGAUGUCUUAUAAUAGCUACUAGAUGGGGUCGAUUAUCUCCAUUGGUCUGUGUUCUACAUCCUUAAUUAUGAACCAUAAUUCCUGUGUCUUUCCGUUAUAAGCAAUGAUUUGGUCCUAAAGCAUGCAUAAGGGCGCUGACACCAUUGUAAUAAAAAUUAUCCCAAGAUCCAUAUAUGAUAUUCAGAGCACACAUAAUUAAAUAAUUGGCUAGUUUGUUUGCUUAA